rnacentral:lncRNA from 1 species
UUUUUUUGUAAUUCCUUUAUCUUUACUUAAAGGUGAAUGUGUAUUCCUCUGGGAGGAAUAGGAAGAAAACAGGAAUGUUAAUAAUGUCAAACAGAAGACUUCCUCCCUUAUUAAUAUAUAACCCUCAUGUAUUUAUGCCUAAUGUAAGCUGACUUUUAAAGAAUUUUCUUUGGUUGCAUGCCCUGUGCAGGCAUCCCUAUUGUACAUGCAUGCCUCUCGUCCUGUUUUCCUGUAUAAAGUUAGUGAACAAAGAACUAUUUUUGCCUAGUUCAUGUUGCCAAGCAAUGCAUAUUUUUUAAAUUUGUCAUAUAUGGAAAUAGCAUGUUUGUUACAUGUAAAGCUUUACUGAUAUACAGAUAUACUAAUGUUUGAAGAUGCUGUUCUUUGCAAGUGUACAGUUUUCAAAUGUUGUUACCAGUGAAACACCCUUGUGGUUUAAACUUGCUACAAUGUAUUUAUUACUCAUUUCCUCCCAUGUAACUAAGAAUCAUGGCUAUAUUUCAUAUCAACGUUAUAUUGAAAGUGAAGGGAAAUGAUUAAUACAAGGUUUUGUAACACUGGUGUGUGUGUCUUUUUUUUUUCCUUUUUGUUGACAGGAUUGAUUAGGAAGCAAGAACUGAAUCUUAGAAAUAAGCCAGCAAGGAACAGUGAACAUGACAUCGCUGUAAACUAUUACCACCUGACCAUUCUAUGCAAACUAUGUCUUCAAAUAGGAGUUCCUUUUUUUUAAACAAAAGAAUAGGAUGAGGUAUAAAAAUUUAUGCAGCUUGUUAUGUGCCCAGAGUAGUUAAUAAAUGCAUCAUCUGACUUGAAGGCAUGUUCCUAAAUACAAACUCUAUCCUUGCAGAUGAUAUUGUUUAUAGCUUGCUGUCCAUCCUCAGUGCCGUUGAAAUCAUAUUUCACCCCGUAACCAUGGCAUAAAGAAACAGCAGCCUCCAUGGAGCCUUGGGGUCUUAACUACAUAUGGCUUGAAUCUCAUUGUAAUACUUCUAAUUCCAGUAUGAUAUUUGAUAUAAACUCUAAAUAAUGUCAAUUAAGCAUAUGGUUGAAGAGACUAAAGUGGUUUUGAAAUCUCUGGCUGUGUGAUAUGCAACAAGUUAACCUCUCUGAGCCUUGGUUUGGUUUGGUUUUUGGCCUAAGAUACUCACAGUUUUUUAGAAUUAAACCUGUAAUCCAAAAAAAGAAGAAAGUAAAGACAAAAGAAACAUAGGAUAUAGAGGUCAUUGCCACCAAAAUCUAGCAAUCCAAGAUUUCUCUGAGGCAACCACAGCUUGACCUUGUAACAGUGACCACACAGCAACUCCCUUUUCACCAGGCUCAGGCUGCUCAAGUGACAUGCAAAAUCCAAAACGGUCCCUGGAAACAUGUAGAAAUGACUCAUAAGCUGAAAUAUUAAAUGAAAUUCCUCCAAAAGUUAAAUUCUCAUAACUCAAAUGAGAUAUAGCUCAGUGUUAUGACCAGAGUAUUCUAAAGGGAAGGGGAUAAUGUGCGAGAGAAAAGUCGAGUCUCGCUUUUGCAAUGUGUGAAAUGAGGGUAAAUGUGAAAGGCAUAAGAUGAAGAGAAGCAGGGCUCAGCGUGGUGCCUGAAAGGAGUUGGGUAGUGAUUUUUAUCAGCAAAGCUGCAGCUCUUUGCCAUUGACCCUACUAAUGGAAUGUUCAGUCCUGGGGAGGUUAUUCAUAUAGCAAAGCAUUUAGGACUUCCCCUAAAUAGUCCUUUCUGCCAAAAAGAUUUAAUUCCACUAUUAAAGGGGGAUGAGUAACACCUCUAGAGCUUCCUGGAUGGGAAGAGGCUGCAGUGAGCUUGUGCGAGGAGUCCAGAAGCAGCACAGGUGGGCACUGUCCACUCAGGCUUUCUGUGCUCAUGAGGCUGCCAAGAGGGCGAUACAAGGAGAAUCCAAACUCCUGUGAACGCACCUUGGUUUGGUCCCUUAAACAAUCUAUCCAUGGCCCUGACUCCCUGUCAGCCCGAGGCUUGCGGAAGUUGAGAGGAGGGCUUGAGGAUAGCAAAAAUCUCCUAACUAGAACCUAAUGCUUCUCUACAAAGAUAUGGAGUGGUCAGUGAGGACCUGGGCCACCCAGAGGCACCAUGUAGCGGCAUGUACGUCAUGCAUGUCCCCGUUCCCCUGUGGGCAAUGCUAGCACAUCACACUCCAGCACUAUCUCACAGACGUUACUCCAGUCUUCCACAAACACUUCUGUUUCCUAUCUUCCAGCCACACAUCAAAACACUUGAGCACUUCAGCCUCUGGAUUGUCCACAGUAGCUCUAGGAUGUCCUAGCUCACUGUUUUUCAAAUCAUCUAUGAAUUACAGUUGUAGUGGUGGCUAUUUAUUUCUAAUCCACAUAGCUCAAUUCUUUUGUAAAAUACAAUAAAUUUUUUAAAAUUACAAGCCCCCUUAUUGUACUAGAUUCGACAAAAUUAUCUGUCAAAUUGCUAUAAAAAGUAGCACUGUUCUGGCUCCCUAAGCUCUAGGGUCAGUCUGCCAAAUCAGCCUGGGAUAUUGCCCUCAGGAUGAAAUGAUGGACAUCCCUAAUGUCAGGUCAACAACACCCAUGAUAUUUCUUUAGAGUGCCCGUUGGGUCUGAGGAAUACCUGGGAGUGGGCCUAAGAACAGCAAUGGCUUUGUUUCCUAGUCUCUAACAGCUGAAAAUAAAAUAGUUGAGAAAGGGGACAUGUUGGAAGGGAAGGCAGAGGAAAAUCCAGAAGGUAAUGGGCCUGGUGGUGGGAGGUGAGAGCCUGAACCUGGAGUCUCUGGAAAUGGAUCAAGCAAUAGAGCACUGUUUCCAGAGCAACCCUGAGAUGUGUCUUCCCACUCCCCACGCUCAGUUUCUGGCCCAGAUGGAUUGAAAUGGUGGAUGGCUCCUCUGCGUGUGUGUCAGUCUACACAUUUAGGAUACAUACCUGAAGUAGGAAAUGUGGGGGACUUGGAAAUUGGGGAGCUUUGGCAAACUCAAGCGUGACAUUUCAAUUAUUAUUGAGAAGGAGCUCCACUGGAGUCAGUGGUCUUUCCCGGUAUCCUCUCAGGUAACAACUUGGCCCGGACACUCCAUCUAACCAGCUUUGCCCAUGGGGCUCUUGCACACAGAUACUG